rnacentral:rRNA from 1 species
AUUGAACGCUGGCGGCAUGCCUUACACAUGCAAGUCGAACGGUAACGCGGGGCAACCUGGCGACGAGUGGCGAACGGGUGAGUAAUGCAUCGGAACGUGCCCAGUAGUGGGGGAUAGCCCGGCGAAAGCCGGAUUAAUACCGCAUACGACCUACGGGUGAAAGCGGGGGACUCGCAAGAGCCUCGCGCUAUUGGAGCGGCCGAUGUCAGAUUAGGUAGUUGGUGGGGUAAAAGCCUACCAAGCCGACGAUCUGUAGCUGGUCUGAGAGGACGACCAGCCACACUGGGACUGAGACACGGCCCAGACUCCUACGGGAGGCAGCAGUGGGGAAUAUUGGACAAUGGGCGCAAGCCUGAUCCAGCAAUACCGCGUGUGUGAAGAAGGCCUUAGGGUUGUAAAGCACUUUCAAUUGGGAGGAAAACCUGCCGGUCAAUACCCGGUAGCUUGACAUUACCUUUAGAAGAAGCACCGGCUAACUCCGUGCCAGCAGCCGCGGUAAU